AUUGCUGGUGCUUUCAGCCGUGCCUGGUGGCGCUGGAAUCACAAGUAUGUGUUCCCGAAGCGUGCUGGCAUUGCACCCUUCUUCCAGUUGACCGUGGCCAGCAUGGCAUUCUUCUACGCAAUCAACUACGGCAAGUUGAAACAGCACAGGAACUACAA
rfam:Drosophila busckii chromosome 2R sequence.